ACCCACAACCAUAAGUGUGAAUUCAAACCCUCUCUUCACUGAUUUUCUGUACACUUGAUUUGGGAGAUUUGCAAAUCCCACAUAGCCUUCAAGGUUCUUCUACUCACCCAUGGUGCUGCUGUUGACGCUCCUCUCCUCAGCAGCAGCGGAUCUCGCACUGACCGACAUCCCCUCCCCCCUCCGCGACCAGCCCGGGCGCAGCGCAGCCCGCCGAUUCUCCAAAGCCGCCUACGCCGGUUCCGCGGCGUAGCCGCCCGGCGUCGCUGCCCCGCUUACGCAGGCGACAGCGGGCGGACUCCACCACUGGCUCUCGCCCGAAUCCCGCUCCCUCCUCCGCCCCCGCCCCUUCAGACAAGGCUUCCGGGCCUGGCCGACGCCAGUUUCGAUCUCGCGAGAGUACUCCCUCACCUCCCCGCCGCCUCUCUCCAUUUCGAACAUGACUUCAUUGGCAUCACUGCUCUUUUGCUGCUCAAGUUUAGCCGCCAUGUUUAAAUUGGCGGGAUUUGGCACCUCCGGGGUCGUGGAUAGUCGGGCCUCUGUGCGUGUUCCUGCAACACUGCUUCUGAGGUUAAACUGCGUUACGUUUCUCGGUGAAAAGCCCGGGGACGAUGAGAGGGAGUGACCGGUGGGCUGCGAGGGUGGGGUUUUGCCCGAUUUAAAGAUGGCCUCUGUCAGUGCCGCCCCGCUCAAUUUCACGUCAGGUUUUGGAGCUGCGGAAGCCGCCUGGUUGGCCUUAGGGCCUUCUUACGGAGUUGGCGUAAGGCAAAGAGGCACCCCUGGAAGAGGCCAGAUUGGGAAUCUGCGCUUGGGGCGGGAGCCGCGUCCAAGCCUCCACUCCCAGAUAACGACCUGGCGGCAUUGUGGGUGCGAGUGGAGAGACACUUCGAGGCAGGUGUCUGUGUCUUCAUCCAUCCCCGUGUCCUAGCUUCCGGGACUCUCGGGGUGGAAAGCGAGAUUAGGUCCUGGUUGCCCCCACAUUCCCUUGGCGCUGUCACUUUCUGGUGGCCUGGCACAGCGAAGAGGUCGCCUGCUGCAGCUUCCGCUGCGGACUCCCCACAGUUACACUCGUGUUAGCUCACCUUGUUGGUUACCGAUUCGCCCCUGGUGGAGCCCCACUCUGAUUAAGGAAAUGAAUGAACACGCGGGAAGCUAUUAGGCGACAGAUGAAGAGUAAUUAAGUACUAAAAGUGUGUAGUUUCAUACUGUAGCAGUGAAUGUCGUUUGGUCACUGGAGCCUGCCGCCAAAUGCUUAGUAGUCAAAGUAGUCUCACUUUGCCCAGAACAGCCUAUGGUCGUUUGUACCUUUCUUGAAAACUAAUGUCUGUCUUCGCUGUAGAGUUCAUGAACAUUAUCUUUCCUGUUAAAUUGUAUGUUAAGGAAUCAUAUACAUUUAAUAUAGAAUAUUACAUAAUACAGAAUACGUAUGUAAUAUAUAAUUAUCCUGAACCCGCGCAAGAAUGUUCAUAGCAGCAUUGCUUUUUUAGUGCAACAAUUUAAAUGUCGACUUACAGGAGAAUGGAUGAAUAAGUUGCAUUAUUGGGCAAACUGACAUACACGGAAUAUUAAAAAAUGGAAAUUAAUAAACCAAUGCUACUGGUGUUCAUUUAAAGUUCAUUAACAUAAUGUUGACCCAAAAAAGCAAGUUGCAAAAAGAUUUAUAUGGUACGUCAGAAAAGUUUAAAAACAAAAAACUGAGAUCAAAUUGGGAAAAUCACGUAGGGAAAUGAUAGAUGUAUUCAGAAUAGUGUUUAGUUCCUGAGAAGAAGAGAAGGGAAUGUAACAGGGAGGAUUCACUCUUAUCUAUAAUGUUUUAUUUUCUGCCAAAGGUAAUCUGUUGAAAAUGUGGCAAAACCUUAAAGCUUAGGUGAAGGAUACACGAGUAUUAAAUUGUAACUGUUUUCUGCACUCUUCUGUAUACUUGAAAUGUUUCCAAGUCUUUUUUUAUGAAGGAAAUUUUAUCCAAAGAAACACCUUAUUUUGUGUCUUGACAUCUACUGUUUCCUUAGCCUCCACUUGUACUGAAUUGCUCAUAACGUCUGUUAACAACUCAUCUGCCCAACCAAUCAUUGUGUUAAUUUUCUGAAACUUCAAAAGGGCAUUUUACUUGGGGAAAUUUCAUUAAAUUUCUACUUUGAAAAGGAACUAAGUAUUGCUGGAAGUUUAAACCUGUGGCCUCUGAAGACAGACUGCCUGGCUUCUAAUCUCCAUGCUACCAUUUACUAUGGAUAUACCCAAGGACAGGUUACUUAACCUUUAUGUAAUCUAGUUCCCUCCGCUAUAAAUGGGAAUAAUACUUACCUAAUUGGGUUUUUGUGAAAGUUAAAUAUGCCCAGUCCAUAGUAAAUACUUAGUAAAUGUUAUUUAUUAUAUACAGCUCAUUUUAAAAUAUAAAAUUAUCUUGUUUAAUAUAAUCUAACAGUCUAUAACAAAGAAAGUCUUUGCUUCCCAUCUCUAUUGAUAUAUUUAUUUAUUUUGGGGGGGUCUCUUAAUGGAAAUGAAAUUUUGUUAUUUUGCUCUCUGAAAGUAGAUAAAUUCUCUAUAUAAAUAAUAAGUAGCUUGCCUGAGGUUUGUUCAUGCUCUCCUACAAACUGCACCCCAUGCAAUAAAGCUUCACUACUUUCCAUUGAAAAUUAUGUGGAAGACUAUAUAGGCAAUGAGAUGAUGACAACCUAUGGAAUUUUGUCUAUAAGGAGUUCUAAUAGUGUUAUAAAUUGUGUGUGUAUGUGCAUGCAUGUGCACACAUAUAUAUUAUGAAUCUUAUGUUGGGGGUGGAGAGAGUAAGAGAAUUAUUAAAAUAGUUUUAUAAUCUCUACUGCACUGUCCACAGUAUUACAUUUGUUAAUAAAAUGUAGUCUAGACCUUAA